GAAAGGCGAAAAGAACCCCGGCGAGGGGAGUGAAAAAGAACCUGAAACCGUGUACGUACAAGCAGUGGGAGCACCCUUCGGGGUGUGACUGCGUACCUUUUGUAUAAUGGGUCAGCGACUUAUAUUCUGUAGCAAGGUUAACCGUAUAGGGGAGCCGGAGGGAAACCGAGUCUUAACCGGGCGUUAAGUUGCAGGGUAUAGACCCGAAACCCGGUGAUCUAGCCAUGGGCAGGUUGAAGGUUGGGUAACACUAACUGGAGGACCGAACCGACUAAUGUUGAAAAAUUAGCGGAUGACCUGUGGCUGGGGGUGAAAGGCCAAUCAAACCGGGAGAUAGCUGGUUCUCCCCGAAAG
rnacentral:rRNA from 2 species